UACCACAUUCCUCCAAACUUACUGUAAAUCUCACACUACUACAGAGUUACUGUGUGAAUUUAGCUUCUGGGGUCAGACGGAGAUUUUCUGGAAAACACUUUUAGGUCUAAGAUGCAUAAAUAAGUGAAUUAGAGAGAGAAGCUUAAACUUUCACUGGAUGGUGUUUGUACUAAAUGUUAAUGAGUUUCUCACUGUAGUGGAUUUAUGGUGGAAGAAGCAGCAUCAAUGUUGGCAGCCUCACCCAGCCCAGUGUGAUGGUGUUGCCCCCCUCCAGUGUAGAGCUGCAGCAGGAGAAGGUCACACUCGUGUGUGUGGCCUACAAGGGCUUCCCCUCGGACUGGAGGCUGAGCUGGAAGAUUGAUGGGAGCAGCUGGAGCUCGGGGGAGAGCCGCAGCACCGCAGUUCUGCAGGCGGACGGCCUCUACAGCUGGAGCAGCACGCUGAGCCUCCACCCGGAGCAGUGGAGGAACAAGGUGGUGACCUGUGAGGCCUCCAAGGACAACCAACCACCUGUGGUGAGCACAGUGAACACAGAGCAGUGCUGAGAGCUGUGAGCUCACACACGUUACUCAGCUCACCUUCUACUGCUUCACUGUGUGUUCCAUGUGGCCUUUUUACUGCUCAAAUGUCCCACUUUCAUCAUUUCAUCUGAGUUAUUGACAUGUGAGCUCACACACUCCUCACUUUAACUCAGCUCUUCUUCUCAUCACCUAAAUAUGUGUUAAGUGUGUGUAUCACUGCAAUGUCCUGCUUUGAAUUAUUAAUAAAAGCCUUUUGAAUCAGUAAA